rnacentral:rRNA from 1 species
AGGAAUAUUGGUCAAUGGGCGAGAGCCUGAACCAGCCAAGUAGCGUGAGGGAAGACUGCCCUAUGGGUUGUAAACCUCUUUUGUGCGGGGAUAAAGUGUGGGACGUGUCCCAUAUUGCAGGUACUGCACGAAUAAGGACCGGCUAAUUCCGUGCCAGCAGCCGCGGUAAUACGGAAGGUCCGGGCGUUAUCCGGAUUUAUUGGGUUUAAAGGGAGCGCAGGCCGUCCUUUAAGCGUGCUGUGAAAUGCCGCGGCUCAACCGUGGCACUGCAGCGCGAACUGGAGGACUUGAGUACGCACGAGGUAGGCGGAAUUCGUGGUGUAGCGGUGAAAUGCUUAGAUAUCACGAAGAACUCCGAUUGCGAAGGCAGCUUACCGGAGCGCAACUGACGCUGAGGCUCGAAAGCGCGGGUAUCGAACAGGAUUAGAUACCCUGGUAGUCCGCGCGGUAAACGAUGGAUGCCCGCCGUUGGGUUUUAGAAUUCAGCGGCCAAGCGAAAGCGUUAAGCAUCCCACCUGGGGAGUACGCCGGCAACGGUGAAACUCAAAGGAAUUGACGGGGGCCCGCACAAGCGGAGGAACAUGUGGUUUAAUUCGAUGAUACGCGAGGAACCUUACCCGGGCUUGAAUUGCAGGAGAACGAUCCAGAGAUGGUGAGGCCCUUCGGGGCUCCUGUGAAGGUGCUGCAUGGUUGUCGUCAGCUCGUGCCGUGAGGUGUCGGCUCAAGUGCCAUAACGAGCGCAACCCCUGUCCAUAGUUGCCAUCAGGUCGUGCUGGGCACUCUGUGGAGACUGCCGCCGUAAGGUGUGAGGAAGGUGGGGAUGACGUCAAAUCAGCACGGCCCUUACGUCCGGGGCUACACACGUGUUAUAAUGGGGCAUACAGCGAGUUGGAUGUGCGCAAGUACGUCCGGAUCAAUAAAGUGCCUCUCAGUUCGGACUGGGGUCUGCAACCCGACCCCACGAAGCUGGAUUCGCUAGUAAUCGCGCAUCAGCCAUGGCGCGGUGAAUACGUUCCCG